CUCAUGACUCAGAGUAUUUAUUAUGUAAAUAAGUUUUAAAAAAAAAAUAAAAAAGUUAUGGCAGCAUUGUGUUUCUCAUAGCACUUUAAACUUUUCGUUUUUUAAGCAUAACACAAGCCGAUUCAUCCAGUAAAUGAUAUCAGGGCUACUUUGCAGAUUUAGUCUCUCUAAUAGUUGCAAGAAUUUGUGUCGUCUCCCUUAUCUAUAAAAGAUUAAACUUAGCUAAAAAUAGCAGGUAAAUGUUUGGAAAUAUGGCAAAAAUGUGUUUUGAUGGGGUUUGACAUCACGAAAGAAUCCUUCCUUGUCCAUACUCGUAUUGUUCUUUCUAAGUAUUACAUGCUACACAUUAGAUAAAUAAGCCAGCGUGUGUAAAAACAUUGAUAUGGACAUUUAAAUAGCAGCAGUUAUCUUUUUGUACACAGCAACUAGGGGAUCUACUGAGUCAAUAUUACUUCAGAAGAGCGGUAUGUUCGAGGAUCUAUGGGUUCACAAGCUCUGUUUCUUUUCCUUCAGUGAAAUAAACUCCUUCAAAAUUCCUGCGAUGAUGGCCUGAGACAUCGGCGGAAACCUGUACACCAAAAACCGCUUGAAGCCUGAAAACUGAAGCAGAAGUGAUGAUGUCUCGUAAUCCGUGAAGUAAAUGGGACAUUCUACGGCCUGCCUCUAUCAUGACACCCAGUGCUGAGGCAGAUGAGCGUCCUCCCUGAGCCUGGUUCUGCCGGAGGUUUCUUCCUGUUAAAAGGGAUUUUUUUUUCCCUCCCACUGUCGCCAAGUGUUUGCUCCGAGGGAAUAGUUGGAUUUCUCUGUGUAAUAUAAUAUUGUAAGGUCUUGAUGUAACUCUGCAAAGUUCCCUAGAUGUUGACUUCUAUUGUGAACUGUUGCUGUAUAAAUAAAAAUGUAAGUGAAUUGCAGUUUUGCACCCAAAA